GGUUGACCUCGGAUCAGGUAGGGAUACCCGCUGAACUUAAGCAUAUCAAUAAGCGGAGGAAAAGAAACCAACAGGGAUUGCCUUAGUAACGGCGAGUGAAGCGGCAACAGCUCAAAUUUGAAAGCUGGCCCUUUCAGGGUCCGCGUUGUAAUUUGUAGAGGAUGAUUCGGCGAGGGCUCCCGCCUAAGUCCCCUGGAACGGGGCGUCAUAGAGGGUGAGAAUCCCGUAUGCGGUGGGCUGCCUUAGCCAUGUGAAUCUCCUUCGACGAGUCGAGUUGUUUGGGAAUGCAGCUCUAAAUGGGAGGUAAAUUUCUUCUAAAGCUAAAUACCGGCCAGAGACCGAUAGCGCACAAGUAGAGUGAUCGAAAGAUGAAAAGCACUUUGGAAAGAGAGUUAAAAAGUACGUGAAAUUGUUGAAAGGGAAGCGCUUGCAACCAGACUUGUCCGCAGUUGCUCAGCCGGUCUCCUGACCGGCGUACUCUUCUGCGGCCAGGCCAGCAUCAGUUCGGGCGGUCGGAUAAAGACCUCGGGAAUGUGGCUCCUCUCGGGGAGUGUUAUAGCCCGGGGUGGAAUGCGGCCAGCCUGGACUGAGGAUCUCGCUUCGGCAAGGAUGCUGGCGUAAUGGUUGUAAGCGGCCCGUCUUGAAACACGGACCAAGGAGUCUAACAUCUAUGCGAGUGUUUGGGUGUCAAACCCAUACGCGUAAUGAAAGUGAACGGAGGUGGGAACCCGCAAGGGCGCACCAUCGGCCGAUCCUGAUGUCUUCGGAUGGAUUUGAGCAAGAGCAUAGCUGUUGGGACCCGAAAGAUGGUGAACUAUGCCUGAAUAGGGUGAAGCCAGAGGAAACUCUGGUGGAGGCUCGCAGCGGUUCUGACGUGCAAAUCGAUCGUCAAAUUUGGGUAUAGGGGCGAAAGACUAAUCGAACCAGUAGCUGGUUCCUGCCGAAGUUUCCCUCAGGA
rnacentral:rRNA from 1 species